GGGAUCCUCCUGGGAUACGAUGCCUACAUCACCCUCCCCACACGGCAGGGCCACACUGCCGCCCCCACUGAAUCCCCAGACGGUGCCUGAACAACCCAGCAAACCAAACGGAGACCUCCACAAACCUCCCCCACCGCAGGGGGACCCCCAGCCUUAAAUUAUUGAGGGGUCCCGACGCCUGGGUCCCCCCGGGGGGGGACAGGGGUAGAUUUGGGGGUCCCUCAGGGGUUGCCCCUCCACCAAAUACCUUCACAAGUGCCUUGAAUGACCUAUGCCUCAGUUUCCUCCUGGGGAGACCCCCCUCAGGUUUAAAGGUGCCUUUGCCUCUCACAGGUUCUGGGGUGCCCGCCUCAGUUUUUGAGGUGCCUCCGUUAGUUUUUGCGGUGUUCACCCUCCCCAGCCAGCGGGAGGUUUUUGGGGGCAAUAUAUUGGGAAAUAAAGGGGUUUUAUUACUGCA